rnacentral:rRNA from 1 species
GACGAACGCUGGCGGCGUGCUUAACACAUGCAAGUCGAACGGAAAGGCCCUGCUUUUGUGGGGUGCUCGAGUGGCGAACGGGUGAGUAACACGUGAGUAACCUGCCCUUGACUUUGGGAUAACUUCAGGAAACUGGGGCUAAUAUCGGAUAGGAGCUCCUGCUGCAUGGUGGGGGUUGGAAAGUUUCGGCGGUUGGGGAUGGACUCGCGGCUUAUCAGCUUGUUGGUGGGGUAGUGGCUUACCAAGGCUUUGACGGGUAGCCGGCCUGAGAGGGUGACCGGCCACAUUGGGACUGAGAUACGGCCCAGACUCCUACGGGAGGCAGCAGUGGGGAAUAUGGCACAAUGGGCGGAAGCCUGAUGCAGCAACGCCGCGUGCGGGAUGACGGCCUUCGGGCUGUAAACCGCUUUCGCCUGUGACGAAGCGUGAGUGACGGUAAUGGGUAAAGAAGCACCGGCUAACUACGU